GAUAGGACAGAUAGGAUAGAUAAAAUAGCCGCUACAGAAUCUACUAUAAUUACAGUAAUAACGAACGUUUGAGUUUUGCUGCUAGAAGAGAAGAGUUAUUGAUUUUUAAACAUAUUUUUUAAAUUAAUUUGGAAGCAUAUUUUGUAACACUUCUUCUUUAAUUAUUCAAGUUUUUAUUUCUUUUGCAUUUUUUAUUGAUUAUAUUUACAAUGACAGAUAACACAUCUCUUACGCAAUUAAAAAA